AGGGGAAUCACAGUUAAGAGAUUUCCAUGAGUCUUACAGGAGACUUUGAGCUCUGGGCUUUCAAACAGCGUUGAGAUGCUUUUAAACUUGGACUCUUCCAUCAUCAGGAGUACUUCUGUGUCCCGAGCAGAGCAUCCUCCGGGUAGCAAGGCUUCAGGCAUUCUCAGGAUUCUGGAGAUGAGUAGUCAUCAGUUGUCUAGGAGUAAGGUUUUAUGUGAUUCCCUCUUUCCACAUUGGCAGUUGACAUGUCAACUGGUGCUGUGUUCGCGUCUUGUUUCGGAGCCCAUACUGUUGAGAUUUCCUGGGUACAGCAUCCCUGCCAUCUCUACCGCAAGCGUCCUGAGCCUCUGGAUCUUCUGCCGUUCUGUGAUGUCCCCCCUGAAUCUUAAGUGUAGGAGUUAUAUGUGCCAACCAGGAAAUGAGGCCCUGCUGUGCCCUACAGCCAUACAUAGACCUGCUGCUGCUCAU
rnacentral:lncRNA from 1 species